rnacentral:tRNA from 1 species
AAGAGUAUCGUUUAAAGGUAAAACACUUGUCUUCAACACACUUGAUAGUAGUUCGAAUCUGCUUACUCUUG